ACCUGAGCCUGAAGCAAAGUUGAUGCGGGAAAAGGGCCAUUCAGUACUAAUACCCCCUAGCAUUAAUGAGCCAGACAAGUGUUCACUGAUAUAGUCCUCAGAUCAAUUCUUUUUUGUUUUUAAAUUAGCGAACUAUUUUACUUUUUUAUUUUAUUUAAUUCAUUUCCAUUGCGUUUGUCCUUCGGCCCAUCUGUAAUGGAAUUGCUGCGUGCGUGGCAGUGGAUUAUUGCUGGUUUGAAGGGCAGACAUGCAAGAAGAAGCUGCAGCAUAAAUCAGUCAAUCAGCUGAAUAGAAUGUCAGUAAAAGAUGAAAAGACUUAGUAGUGUGUGCAAGAAGGCCUUCCGUUGGGGAUGUUUCUUCAACUGUGGGUGAAGAUUAACGCAUCCCUCUUAACUUUCCUUUUUCUAAAAGUCUAAACAGCUUACAGAUAUCAGAUUCUGCGAAAGCGGCGAUUGAGUGAGCGCCAGUAGUAGGGGG
rnacentral:sRNA from 1 species